CACACCGCCCGUCGCUACUACCGAUUGAAUGGCUCAGUGAGGCGUCCGGACUGGCCCAGAGAGGUGGGCAACUACCACUCAGGGCCGGAAAGUUCUCCAAACUCGGUCAUUUAGAGGAAGUAAAAGUCGUAACAAGGUCUCCGUUGGUGAACCAGCGGAGGGAUCAUUA
rnacentral:rRNA from 2 species